rnacentral:lncRNA from 1 species
GGGGGUUGUGUAUUAAGUCUGUGUACUGUCGCCUUCAAGGAUCAGACUGCAAAGGAUAAGGCCCUGCAGCACAUGGCCGCCAUGUCGUCAGCCCAGAUCGUCUCGGCCACUGCCAUUCACAACAAGCUGGGGCUGCCCGGGAUCCCACGCCCCACCUUCCCGGGGGCGCCGGGGUUCUGGCCAGGAAUGAUACAAACAGGGCAGCCUGGAUCUUCACAAGACGUCAAGCCCUUCGUGCAGCAGGCCUACCCCAUCCAGCCAGCAGUCACGGCCCCCAUUCCAGGGUUUGAACCUGCGUCAGCCCCAGCUCCCUCGGUCCCAGCCUGGCAGGGCCGCUCCAUUGGCACAACCAAACUUCGCCUGGUGGAAUUCUCAGCUUUCCUUGAACAGCAGCGAGACCCAGACUCGUACAACAAACACCUCUUCGUGCACAUCGGGCACGCCAACCAUUCUUACAGUGACCCAUUGCUCGAAUCAGUGGACAUUCGUCAGAUUUAUGACAAAUUUCCUGAAAAGAAAGGUGGCUUAAAGGAACUGUUUGGAAAGGGCCCUCAAAAUGCCUUCUUCCUCGUAAAAUUCUGGGCUGAUUUAAACUGCAAUAUUCAAGACGAUGCCGGGGCUUUUUAUGGCGUAACCAGUCAGUAUGAGAGUUCUGAAAAUAUGACAGUCACCUGCUCCACCAAAGUUUGCUCCUUUGGGAAGCAAGUAGUAGAAAAAGUAGAGACGGAAUACGCAAGGUUUGAGAAUGGCCGAUUUGUCUACCGAAUAAACCGCUCCCCAAUGUGUGAAUAUAUGAUCAACUUCAUCCACAAGCUCAAACACUUACCAGAGAAAUAUAUGAUGAACAGUGUUUUGGAAAACUUCACAAUUUUAUUGGUGGUAACAAACAGGGAUACACAAGAAACUCUCCUGUGCAUGGCCUGUGUAUUUGAAGUUUCAAAUAGUGAACAUGGAGCACAGCAUCAUAUUUACAGGCUUGUAAAGGACUAA